AGGACGAACGCUGGCGGCGUGCUUAACACAUGCAAGUGGUGCGACGAACCAGGCUUCGGCCUGGGGCAAAGCCGCGAACGGGUGAGUAACACGUGGGUAAUCUGCCCCGAUGACCGGGACAACCCGAGGAAACUCGGGCUAAUACCGGAUGAUGAGCCUUGGCGUAAGCCUUGUCUCUAAAGGAAGCUUCGGCCUCCGCAUUGGGAGGAGCCCGCGGCCCAUUAGCUUGUUGGUGGGGUAAUGGCCUACCAAGGCAACGAUGGGUAGCUGGUCUGAGAGGACGAUCAGCCACACUGGGACUGAGACACGGCCCAGACUCCUACGGGAGGCAGCAGUGGGGAAUCUUGCGCAAUGCGCGAAAGCCUGACGCAGCGACGCCGCGUGGGGGAUGAAGGCCUUCGGGUUGUAACCCUUUCAGCAGGGACGAAGCGAAAGUGACGGUACCUGCAGAAGAAGCGCCGGCUAACUACGUGCCAGCAGCCGCGGU
rnacentral:rRNA from 1 species